GCCAUUUACCUCCAUACAGCAAGUCUCUAACUAAGCCACCUUGGCAUAAUUUGUAUGGUAGGUAUCCACCUGCUCAAGCUGCUCCAGGGCUGUGGUCACAGCUGAAACAUCUUAAACAUCCAUCCCUUAAGUGCCUCAGGAGAGAUCAGGGGAGCGUUAGAGUACAGGUGGCUUUCAACAAGGUGUCCUGUUAUCAAGGGAUCUGAGAGACAACUUUCACCUUCAUAGGCCACAAAGGAAAGCUGUGACACAUCUCAUAAUGAGGCAGCAGUGCAAAAAGACCAUUCUGAAUGUCCUCUGCCCAAGAGGAGACUGUCCUGUUCACAGCAGAUCCCAACCCUAAAUGUAUUCCUGAAGCCCAAGCUCCAGAGAUACUGACAUUACGGAGUAGAGUGUAGGAUAGGGUACCUAUGGGUGUCCUUCCCCUUGAUUGGUGAGCAUUGGGGUGACUUGUGGAGGACACAGUCACCUCCUAUGCUGUGUGGACAGAGGCACUGAGGAGGAUUUAGCCCCCAGGCAAUUUGGCUCAGGGGCCUUUGGAGAGGUCACCAAGGCUAUUGGAGUUGCCCAUCAUCCAGAAGCUAUCAGGAUGCUCUGGAGGGCAUCCCCCCGCUUGCAGGGUCAAUGUGGCAGGCGCAAGUGCUGGCAUGCCAGAAGUUGCCUUCCUGAUCACGCUCACCCUGCUAGGGAGGGAUGAGACAGCAUUGUGCUUUAAAGAGCAUCCCCAACCCUAUCAGCAAGAGAUGAGAUAUCCUAAUUAUGGCAGAACAGGCUAGGAUCCGGGCCGUAUCAGCCAGCACAGAAAGGUUCACACCAAGCAGCAUCUACGAGCCUGCUGCAUGGCUCGCGGGAAGGCAGCCUGCUUCGUACAGUCAACCUCAGGUUGUGCUUGACAGACAAGGGAAACUGAGGCAGGACUGCGUGGAGGGGAGAUCCCACCAUGGAACAACACAGUGGCUCUUGCAAAAGGUGUCCCCUGGAAAGUAAACUCUGAAGGGCACUGGUACAGUGAAGCCCCAUCCUUCUCCUUGCUUGGACCUAUGACCAUGGAAGGGAUCCACUGGGAAAAGAGACCCUGAGACCCAUUGAGCACACCUCCACUCCAAACCCACAUCCAGUGGAACAGCCCAGACAUUCAUUACACAUUCAGGGUGUGCACACGGCAGGGAAUAAACUCCCGUUGUUACUCAUUAUAAGGAUGCCGUUUCUAACUCCUUUUGCAACCAAGAGGUAAAAAUUAAUGGGUUCCCCUCCUCUCGCCACACCCCCAGCCCGAGUGCUGAUGCAGCAGCAGCACACAAUGACUAAUCCUCCUUAAACCCUGCUGAGCAAA